ACUUGCUUUCUUUGCUGGCGACCGGCGCACGGGUGAGUAACACGUAUCCAACCUACCCUUUACUCGGGAUAGCCUUUCGAAAGAAAGAUUAAUACCCGAUGGCAUAGUUCUUCCGCAUGGUAGAACUAUUAAAGAAUUUCGGUCAUCGAUGGGGAUGCGUUCCAUUAGGUUGUUGGCGGGGUAACGGCCCACCAAGCCUUCGAUGGAUAGGGGUUCUGAGAGGAAGGUCCCCCACAUUGGAACUGAGACACGGUCCAAACUCCUACGGGAGGCAGCAUG
rnacentral:rRNA from 1 species